GAUGAAGAGCAAGCAGAGGGGAGGGGGGGCCUGGUAGCCAGACGUACACUCCAUGCAAAGGCUUCCACGCAUGCAUGUUUUGCAGCUUACUACAACAACUCGAUCAGGCGGCCGGCUGCAUGCAUCCACAUCGACCGGUCUGUUAUUGCAUGCACAUAUUAUAAGCGACUGUUCCGAUAUACCCCUCACUUGAAAUCUAUCACUUUGUGUCAUGAUGCCAUCUGUAAGCAAGAGAGAGAGAGAGAGAGAGAGAGAGAGAGAGAGAUUAUGUGAAGUGGAAGCAAUUAUGUGACUUGGUGAGAGCUAUGGGUAUGCUUCAUUACAAAACAACCCCAGGGGGCAGGGGCACAGAUGCAUAUAUCGUCGAUCUUUGUCUCCUCAACUGAUUUCGCUGCCCUCAGGUGGCCAUGAUAGCCUUCUGGCUCAAGGGACGUGACAAGGGAAAAAAAAGACAACCAGAGCUGGAGUCAAAGACAAGAAGACUAGAGCACUGGACGUGGUGUCUCAAUUCUCAUGGGCACAACCAAAUGCUUGGUUCACCCAUACCAUGCAUCCUAGGUAUAUACAUGCUUCAUUGCGUACCACGCUUAGUAUAUCUACGACUACGAAGUCAUGAUGUUAGAGCCAUACUACAUAGAGUUUUAUAUAGAGGUUCGUCCGCGGUGUGUAUAAUA
rnacentral:lncRNA from 7 species